rnacentral:rRNA from 1 species
UACGGAGGAUGCGAGCGUUAUCCGGAUUUAUUGGGUUUAAAGGGUGCGUAGGCGGGCUUUUAAGUCGGCGGUAAAAGUUCGGGGCUCAACCCCGUCCGGCCGUUGAAACUGGCGUUCUUGAGUGGGCGAGAAGUAUGCGGAAUGCGUGGUGUAGCGGUGAAAUGCAUAGAUAUCACGCAGAACUCCGAUUGCGAAGGCAGCAUACCGGCGCCCUACUGACGCUGAGGCACGAAAGCGUGGGUAUCGAACAGG